rnacentral:rRNA from 1 species
GACGAACGCUGGCGGCGUGCUUAACACAUGCAAGUCAAACGGUAAGGCCCUUCGGGGUACACGAGUGGCGAACGGGUGAGUAACACGUGGGUGAUCUGCCCUGCACUUCGGGAUAAGCCUGGGAAACUGGGUCUAAUACCGGAUAGGACCACUGCCUGCAUGGGUGGUGGUGGAAAGCUUUUGCGGUGUGGGAUGGGCCCGCGGCCUAUCAGCUUGUCGGUGGGGUGAUGGCCUACCAAGGCGACGACGGGUAGCCGGCCUGAGAGGGUGACCGGCCACACUGGGACUGAGAUACGGCCCAGACUCCUACGGGAGGCAGCAGUGGGGAAUAUUGCACAAUGGGCGCAAGCCUGAUGCAGCGACGCCGCGUGAGGGAUGACGGCCUUCGGGUUGUAAACCUCUUUCAGCACAGACGAAGCGCAAGUGACGGUAUGUGUAGAAGAAGGACCGGCCAACUACGUGCCAGCAGCCGCGGUAA